AUUAUUAAUUUUUCUUUCUUCAAAUUAAUUGUAUUUGGCAUAAUAGAAUUAAGUUCUAUAAUUUUCAACACAGUCUUUUGAAUCAUGCAAAGUUAUGAUACUAAGUAAGUGCAUACAUGUGUUUGGAAUCAUAGUAAUGUGGUCUCAUCUUCGAGGAACUCUAUUACUCAUAGUGAUAGAAUGGGGCCACACAGCCUCUUUCAAUGCUAUAUAAUAGUCCCUCUUCUCAUGUUUCUCUUCGCCUUCUACCAACAACUUCUACCUGAUAUCCACUGAGGUCAUAUUUAUCCACAAAUACAAUGCAAUCCAGUGAGGUUACGGGGAUUCAUUAUCUACGUCCUUCAAACCCAACUCAGUACCCGACCCAUUUUGACACGAUUGAUAACAACAUGGCAGGAUAUCAGUUGAACAGAUUUUCGAAAUCUCUAUAUCAAUUUCAGAUGACGCCUCAAUUUCAAGAAUUCAAUCCUCAAUCAACAUGUUUCAGCAGUAACUCAACUUCUGACGAAGCGGAUGAGCAACAGCUAAGUAUAAUAAACGAGAGGAAGCAGAGAAGAAUGAUUUCUAACCGGGAAUCUGCACGAAGAUCACGUAUGCGAAAACAAAAGCACUUGGACGAGCUUUGGUCACAGGUUGUCUGGCUUCGAAAUGAGAAUCGACAACUGAUAGACACACUGAACCAUGUCUCGGAGAACCAUGAUCGAGUCGUCCAGGAAAAUUCUCGACUCAAAGAAGAAGCUUCAGGGCUUCGCCAAAUGCUGGCUGACAUGCAGCUCAAUAGUCCCUAUCCUAGCCUGAGAGAUCUUGAUGAUGAUCCCUACAAUGAUUUGCCUUAAAGACAAAAAUAAUUAUUCAACCUGCAGUUCUUGAUUUCUGAAAAUUUGCCUUGUUGAGACGAAGCAGCAGUGAUUUUUGUUUUCCUUGUCUCUUCUUUUCUUCGGGGCAUCAUUAAGAAAUAUUAUAUUUCUGUUUUAUUUCUCUGAGUUGAAGUAUCGGUUAAAUAAUGUCCUAUAUAACAUAUCACUCUUGUCUUUACUGGAUAAGGAUUCUAGACAUGAAUUCCUCCAUGAAAAUAGAUUUUUGCAUUCACUAAGGUCGGUCUGUGUCAGUGUUCAUGUAAACAACACAACACAAGUCUACGUGUGGCGAACACACUUCAUACACAGGAAGUAUGUGAUAAAACGGGGACUGGCCCAUCACAUAAUUUUCACAAUGAUUGCACUAUUCACGUUUAGAUUUGCAAAUUAUGGAAUUUAUAUAAAAGAGCAAAAACAGGAACCAAAAAAUUAAGAAAAAGAAUGAGAGUUUCUUAGAUCUCUAUGCAAUAUUACCAGAAGUGGAUUAUCGGUUCUUGCAGGUGAAAUACAAUAGAGAAAGCACGAAAUGUACUUGCAGAAGGAUUUUGUGGACGAGUUGGUUCGUAGUAUAAACUAACAGAAGGAAGACGAAAAUGAUUUUGUAAGAGCAUUUCCUACUAAAAAAUUAUGAUCUGUGGCAAUAGGGGCCAGCCCAGCAAAGUCAGAGAAACCUCGAUUGCUCCAAUAUCCCUUACUGGGUAUUAAGGGAACAUAGUGUAUGGUGGGUCUCUCCCAGUUGCAAUCAUGUUAGUCUUGUUUCACCAUUGUUUCCGUUGGACGGAGAAAUUUAAGUUUGGAAUUGAUGUUUCAGAGAUAUUUGAAAACAGAUGAGAGGUCUAUGUGGUUACUGAUGGAAGUUGCAAAUCUUUCACAUGGUAAGACCCACCCAUUCGUUUGAGGUAGAAGAUGAUAAUUUUGGAAUUACCAAGUCUAGGAUGA
rnacentral:lncRNA from 1 species